rnacentral:rRNA from 1 species
AUGCGUAGGGUACAAACGUUAUCCAGAUUUACUGGGCGUAUAGAGAUGCGUAGGCGGUUUGAUAAGUCUUAAGUUAAAGACCUCGGCUCAACCGAGGAAAAGCUUUAGAAACUAUCAGACUUGAGACAUGAAGGGGUGAACGGAAUUCCGAGUGGAGUGGUGAAAUACGUUGAUAUUCGGAGGAACAUCAGUGGCGAAGGCGGUUCACUGGUCAUUGUCUGACGCUAAGGCUCGAAAGCGUGGGUAGCAAAACGGAUUAGAUACCCGUGUAGUCCACGCCGUAAACUAUGGAUGCUAGGUGCUUGGUACAACUAUUUUAAAUCUUCGGAUUCUAGAUGGAAGUACUAAGUGCCGCAGUUAACGCGUUAAGCAUCCCGCCUGGGAAGUACGGCCGCAAGGCUAAAACUCAAAUGAAUUGGCGGGGACCCGCACAAGCGGAGGAGCGCGUGGUUUAAUUCGAUGGCAAUCGAAGAACCUUACCAGGGUUUGACAUGUAUCUGCAUUCUCCCCGAAAAGGGAGAAGCCUUCGAGGGUGAUACACAGGUACUGCAUGGCCGUCGUCAGCUCGUGUCGUGAGAUGUAGGGUUAAGUCCCGAAACGAGCGCAACCCCUAUCCCAUGUUACAAGUGUCUUGGGAAACUGCCUCGGUAAAACGGGGAGGAAGGUGGGGAUGAUGUCUGGUCCGCAUAGUCCUUAUGUCCUGGGCUACACACGCGCUACAAUGGUCGGUACAAUGGGCAGCCAAGUCGUAAGACGGAGCUAAUCCUCAAAACCGAUCUCAGUUCGGAUUGAGGUCUGAAACUCGACCUCAUGAAGUUGGAUUUGCUAGUAACCGUAGAUCAGCAAUGCUACGGUGAAUACGUUCUCGGGUCUUGCACACACCGCCCGUCAAGCCAUGGAAGUAGGUGAUACCCGAAGGUGUCCUGCCGUUAGGUGGGAUGACGAAGGUAACGCUUAUAACUGGGGUU